rnacentral:rRNA from 1 species
GACGAACGCUGGCGGCGUGCCUAAUACAUGCAAGUCGAACGCUUCUUUCCUCCCGAGUGCUUGCACUCAAUUGGAAAGAGGAGUGGCGGACGGGUGAGUAACACGUGGGUAACCUACCCAUCAGAGGGGGAUAACACUUGGAAACAGGCGCUAAUACCGCAUAACAGUUUAUGCCGCAUGGCAUAAGAGUGAAAGGCGCUUUCGGGUGUCGCUGAUGGAUGGACCCGCGGUGCAUUAGCUAGUUGGUGAGGUAACGGCUCACCAAGGCCACGAUGCAUAGCCGACCUGAGAGGGUGAUCGGCCACACUGGGACUGAGACACGGCCCAGACUCCUACGGGAGGCAGCAGUAGGGAAUCUUCGGCAAAGGACGAAAGUCUGACCGAGCAACGCCGCGUGAGUGAAGAAGGUUUUCGGAUCGUAAAACUCUGUUGUUAGAGAAGAACAAGGACGUUAGUAACUGAACGUCCCCUGACGGUAUCUAACCAGAAAGCCACGGCUAACUACGUG